UAGGGGAAUCUUCGGCAAUGGACGAAAGUCUGACCGAGCAACGCCGCGUGAGUGAAGAAGGUUUUCGGAUCGUAAAACUCUGUUGGUAGAGAAGAACGUUGGUGAGAGUGGAAAGCUCAUCAAGUGACGGUAACUACCCAGAAAGGGACGGCUAACUACGUGCCAC
rnacentral:rRNA from 1 species